rnacentral:lncRNA from 1 species
CCCCUUGACUGCCUCUAGCUAACCCCUUCCUUUUUCUCCUUGUUUCCAUGUCCUCUAGACCCUUCAUCACAAAAGUCCAAACUGCCAGCUCAGCAAGAAAGGAACAUCCUUGGAUUGCAGGAGACGGAAAAUCGUUGAGGAUGCCAAGCCAAGCCAGAGGGAAGGAAAGGCCAGAUACUCUGUGAUUUAAUCAUGUUACAGCCUCACAAAGAUGCAAAAGAUUCCUGUCUACUUGCCGCAGUAUGACUCAUUCUAGAAAGAGGAGUUUCAAUGAAUCAUAACGAACAAAAGAAAUGGAAAGAGCAAAAGAGAGAAUGUGUCAAGUUAAAUGUUAAAAUGUCAAAGAGACACAGAUAUCAACUGAAAGAGCUCUCAAUGGCCAAAGCUGAACAAUUUGGUGAAAUGAAUAACACUAAGAAAAUCAUGCUUAUAACAAGAAAUAAGUCUCAGAUUUGA